rnacentral:rRNA from 1 species
CGUAGGGUGCGAGCGUUAAUCGGAAUUACUGGGCGUAAAGCGUGCGCAGGCGGUUUUGUAAGACAGGCGUGAAAUCCCCGAGCUUAACUUGGGAAUGGCGCUUGUGACUGCAAGGCUAGAGUAUGUCAGAGGGGGGUAGAAUUCCACGUGUAGCAGUGAAAUGCGUAGAGAUGUGGAGGAAUACCGAUGGCGAAGGCAGCCCCCUGGGACGUCACUGACGCUCAUGCACGAAAGCGUGGGGAGCAAACAGGAUUAGAUACCCUGGUAGUCCACGCCCUAAACGAUGUCAACUAGUUGUUGGGGAUUCAUUUCUUCAGUAACGUAGCUAACGCGUGAAGUUGACCGCCUGGGGAGUACGGUCGCAAGAUUA